UACGUAGGGUGCAAGCGUUUGUCCGGAAUUAUUGGGCGUAAAGAGCUCGUAGGCGGUCUGUCGCGUCUCUGUGAAAACCCGAGGCUCAACCUCGGGCCUGCAGUGGGUACGGGCAGACUAGAGUGCGGUAGGGGGAGAUUGGAAUUCCUGGUGUAGCGGUGGAAUGCGCAGAUAUCAGGAGGAACACCGAUGGCGAAGGCAGAUCUCUGGGCCGUAACUGACGCUGAGGAGCGAAAGCGUGGGGAGCGAACAGG
rnacentral:rRNA from 1 species